rnacentral:rRNA from 1 species
UACGAAGGGGGCUAGCGUUGCUCGGAAUUACUGGGCGUAAAGGGAGCGUAGGCGGACAUUUAAGUCAGAGGUGAAAUCCCGGAGCUUAACUUCGGAACUGCCUUUGAUACUGGGUGUCUUGAGUGUGAGAGAGGUAUGUGGAACUCCGAGUGUAGAGGUGAAAUUCGUAGAUAUUCGGAAGAACACAGUGGCGAAGGCGACAUACUGGCUCAUUACUG